rnacentral:rRNA from 1 species
AUUGAACGCUGGCGGCAUGCCUUACACAUGCAAGUCGAACGGCAGCACGGGAGCAAUCCUGGUGGCGAGUGGCGAACGGGUGAGUAAUAUAUCGGAACGUGCCCAGUCGUGGGGAUAACGUAGCGAAAGCUACGCUAAUACCGCAUACGAUCUAUGGAUGAAAGCGGGGGAUCGCAAGACCUCGCGCGAUUGGAGCGGCCGAUAUCAGAUUAGGUAGUUGGUGAGGUAAAGGCUCACCAAGCCGACGAUCUGUAGCUGGUCUGAGAGGACGACCAGCCACACUGGGACUGAGACACGGCCCAGACUCCUACGGGAGGCAGCAGUGGGGAAUAUUGGACAAUGGGCGAAAGCCUGAUCCAGCAAUGCCGCGUGAGUGAUGAAGGCCUUAGGGUGUAAAGCUCUUUUUACCAGGGAUGAUAAUGACAGUACCCGGAGAAUAAGCUCCGGCUAACUCCGUGCCAGCAGCGCGGUAA